rnacentral:lncRNA from 1 species
UUUUUUUUUUUUUUUAUUCAAGUGUAAUUGAUUUACAUUUCUUCAAUUUCUGUUGUACAACAAUGUGACCCCGGGCACACAACAUUUCCCUGUGCUGUGCUGUCCUGUAGGGUCCCGUUGCUCAUCCAUUCCAAAUAUAAGAGUUUGCAUCCAAAAACCUGGAACUGCCCGCCCAUUCCACUCCCUCCGCUGUCCUCCCUGGGAACUACAAAUGUACUCUCCUUGGCCAUGAUCUGUUUCCAUUUUGUAGAUAAGAUCAUCUGUGCCACAAGUUAGACUCUACCAAAAACAAAAACAAACAAACAAACGAAAACACCCAGCAAAUUUGGUGGUGUGAGGAAAGAACGCAAGUUCUGGAGUAAGAUGGAUUUGCGUUCCUAACCGGAUUCUGUACAAUUUACUAACACAUCUAAACAUGUUUUCUCAGCUGUAGAAUGGGUAUCACUGUGCCUGCCUCACAGGAAUCCUAUUGCUGAAGGGCAAAGGCAUAAGCAGCUCACCUCUCUCCACGUCUGCAAUUAAGCAGGAACUCCUGAAUCUUAGUUCUUUCUCCACUGCAUCUCUCUACUUCUCAAGUCUACUGUACCAGACAUAAUACAGGUUUUCUUAAUGACUCAGUGUUAUCAUUAUGAACAUCAGUUAAUGUUACGUGUCUGAGACGCAGCUGCAGCUGCAAAUGCAAUAGAACAUCAGGCGAAAUGAGCCACUCAUGUAACACACAGUUGACUUGCCUAAUUUUGUCAUAUGCAUGAUAUUGAAUCCUCAGCCGCUUGAGAAGAUUUACCAGGCACCCGAAAAUGUGAACAGCUGCCUUUCUGAGAUUUGAUAUCGUAUAAGGGAGAUGAACGAAUGUGCAGUGAUUCAUCAACCUUUCAAAUGUUUGUUUGUUCUUUUACAGCUAACACAACUUUCCUAUGUGCCUGGUCUUGUCUUUUACAAACGGAGUCUGGAGACUGUGUUGCACCCACAGUAUUCGACAGCAUUACAACUCAGCACUGUUCUACCCCAUUUGUGCCCAUUAUCUUACAAUGCUUUGCAGCUAUGCCUGCACUAGAGAUGUCUGAGGAUCUCUCCUGGGUAAUUUCUCAUCCCAACCACUUAGGCAUCUCCUUUGCCUAAGCACCUACAUUUCAUACCACUGUGCCCCUACCCUGGCCCUGCCCCCAGGUGAGAAGCUUGAAAAUUGGCACCAAGAUGAACGGCCAGAAGACUUAUAAUCUAGCAUAUGACACAUCGUGUAGCUCUGAAAGGGUGAGUUAAGCCGUUUGGCAUCUUCGUUUCCAAAAUGUAUAAAGGGAAACACCGAAGAACUGUGCCAGUCAGCAGUGAGCUAAUGGUGACAUAAUGCCAUGUGUAAUCCAAAGUUUGGAGGGACCAGAAAAGAUACAGAGAGGAGAAGGAUGAAGUCACUUGGUGGUGAACAGAGAGUAAAUUAGAUGUGAAGAGUCUGCUGAGACAGAGGGAGGAGGGGAGGGGGAGAGAAGAGAGGGAUAGAGAGGAAGGGGCCAGAAGGGAAGGACAUUCAUCUUUAAAGAUGCCUUGAGCCCCACAGCUUUGAAGAUCCGCUCCCACUCUGCAUUUUUCUUUAAAGUACAUGGCUUUGUUUCAACUGAGGUAACUAAAGACGAUUUUUUUUUCUUUCAAUUUAGUCUGAUUGAUCCAUUACAAAGCUAUCAAAAUGCAACCCAUAACACUUCCAUCAAGUUCAUCUUGUAUAAAGUGCUGAAGUGUGAUGGCUGCUAUGGCUUUGGAUUGAUGGUUGAGAUGAAGUUCCAGUGCACCUUCUCCGUUGCCUGCUCCCCUGCCCCAUCCACACACCACACUGUAGAGGCAUGAUAUUCCCUCACAGAAUGCUAAUUUUCAGGGUUCUGGGUUUUCUCUCUUCAGAGAGCCCACUCUCUGCCAUCCCUCUCCCUGGUCCUCUUUCUUCACUUCUGCUGCUCCUCUUCGCCCACUCUCUUCCUUCUUCUCCUCUGCUUUUCUUUUCUUGGUAGCUUCUGCCUCAUCCCCGCCCCUUGAAUGCUUCUCGGGUUUCACAGGUCCUUUAAAAAUAUCGACAGCCAAUCUGUGCAUCAUCCAGUGAAACUUCUCUAAUCCACAACCUGUGCUCUUCUCUGCCGUGCUGGUUUCUUCUAACGGUUUCUAGAUUUGGUUCAGUUACUCUUGAGUCCUGAGCGAUUCUGAAAGCCUAUUAUGAGUCAGGAGGCUGGGGUCUGGACAGCUGGAAUUUCUGACAGUGAGAGCUAUCAAACAGCAGAGCAUACUUCUCCACAGUGAGCAGCACAUGCCUAUGUGGCCAACAGCUACAGACAAGACCACUCAGGGCUCCAGAAAGAUUCCAGUGAUGUCCACUUUGAGAAUCUGAGACAUUAAAAGUGGAAAAAAUGCCAAAAAGAGGUUUUUAAAAUACUUCCUAUAUUAACAUAUUGACACUUUUAACCUGAAAAGAUUAGGUAAUAUCCUUGUACUCCCCAGAGAAAAUUAAGGAGAAACAUCUAAACCUAAGAUUCCAGGGAGUUCCGGUGUGGCUCAGUGGAAACAAACCCGACUGGUGUCCAUGAGGUUGUGGGUUCAAUCCCUGGCCUGAAUGAUACUGGCAUGAAAACCAAGGGUUGGUAUGAUGUUAUCAUAUUAUAGCUCUAUAUUUUUAAUACAGUCUCGUCAUAAUCUUUUGACUAUUUGACUAAAUCCAACUAAAAAGAACAAAUAACCCACAUCCCGGGCUUUGUUGUACCACUAACCAUUCACAAGAUACUGGGAUUAUAAGUAGCUCUGAGCCAUAGGCAUCAAGUGCCUAAUUCUUUAAAAUGAGUAGAUCAAUCAGAUAUUUGUCCUCCCUUAGUGCUUUAAGAGUCUAUAACAUGCAUUUAUUUGGUUUUCAAUACAAAAAAAAAAAAAAAAAAAAANAAAAAAAAA